AAAUUGAAGAGUUUGAUCAUGGCUCAGAUUGAACGCUGGCGGCAGGCCUAACACAUGCAAGUCGAACGGUAACAGGAAACAGCUUGCUGUUUCGCUGACGAGUGGCGGACGGGUGAGUAAUGUCUGGGAAACUGCCUGAUGGAGGGGGAUAACUACUGGAAACGGUAGCUAAUACCGCAUAACGUCGCAAGACCAAAGAGGGGGACCUUCGGGCCUCUUGCCAUCGGAUGUGCCCAGAUGGGAUUAGCUAGUAGGUGGGGUAACGGCUCACCUAGGCGACGAUCCCUAGCUGGUCUGAGAGGAUGACCAGCCACACUGGAACUGAGACACGGUCCAGACUCCUACGGGAGGCAGCAGUGGGGAAUAUUGCACAAUGGGCGCAAGCCUGAUGCAGCCAUGCCGCGUGUAUGAAGAAGGCCUUCGGGUUGUAAAGUACUUUCAGCGGGGAGGAAGGGAGUAAAGUUAAUACCUUUGCUCAUUGACGUUACCCGCAGAAGAAGCACCGGCUAACUCCGUGCCAGCAGCCGCGGUAAUACGGAGGGUGCAAGCGUUAAUCGGAAUUACUGGGCGUAAAGCGCACGCAGGCGGUUUGUUAAGUCAGAUGUGAAAUCCCCGGGCUCAACCUGGGAACUGCAUCUGAUACUGGCAAGCUUGAGUCUCGUAGAGGGGGGUAGAAUUCCAGGUGUAGCGGUGAAAUGCGUAGAGAUCUGGAGGAAUACCGGUGGCGAAGGCGGCCCCCUGGACGAAGACUGACGCUCAGGUGCGAAAGCGUGGGGAGCAAACAGGAUUAGAUACCCUGGUAGUCCACGCCGUAAACGAUGUCGACUUGGAGGUUGUGCCCUUGAGGCGUGGCUUCCGGAGCUAACGCGUUAAGUCGACCGCCUGGGGAGUACGGCCGCAAGGUUAAAACUCAAAUGAAUUGACGGGGGCCCGCACAAGCGGUGGAGCAUGUGGUUUAAUUCGAUGCAACGCGAAGAACCUUACCUGGUCUUGACAUCCACAGAACUUUCCAGAGAUGGAUUGGUGCCUUCGGGAACUGUGAGACAGGUGCUGCAUGGCUGUCGUCAGCUCGUGUUGUGAAAUGUUGGGUUAAGUCCCGCAACGAGCGCAACCCUUAUCCUUUGUUGCCAGCGGUCCGGCCGGGAACUCAAAGGAGACUGCCAGUGAUAAACUGGAGGAAGGUGGGGAUGACGUCAAGUCAUCAUGGCCCUUACGACCAGGGCUACACACGUGCUACAAUGGCGCAUACAAAGAGAAGCGACCUCGCGAGAGUAAGCGGACCUCAUAAAGUGCGUCGUAGUCCGGAUUGGAGUCUGCAACUCGACUCCAUGAAGUCGGAAUCGCUAGUAAUCGUGGAUCAGAAUGCCACGGUGAAUACGUUCCCGGGCCUUGUACACACCGCCCGUCACACCAUGGGAGUGGGUUGCAAAAGAAGUAGGUAGCUUAACCUUCGGGAGGGCGCUUACCACUUUGUGAUUCAUGACUGGGGUGAAGUCGUAACAAGGUAACCGUAGGGGAACCUGCGGUUGGAUCACCUCCUUACCUUAAAGAAGC
rnacentral:rRNA from 1 species